UCUUCAAAGCUUGAUUUCUUCUGAACUAAAACUCAAAUCAAAAUUCCGAUUUCACCAAAAUGAUCCUCUCUUCUUCCUCUACAUAACCAUGUGACUUAUCAAGGCUGGAAAUAAGGAAUCAUGCUUAACUUGACUUGAGGGCCAAGAAACGUGAAUUUUCAGCAACUCUAAGGAGGAAAAAGUGCUUAAGGACCACCUGAAAAUCUAUCUGAAUUAGGAGCAGCAAAACCAGAUGGAAGUAAGAGUACCUUACCGUAGUUCGUUGAUGAUGGAUCUGCAAAGAGGAUUCUGCUCUAGAUAGUCUUCUGAGUCUAGGGUGGAUAUCGUUCUCUGAUUAUACGUAUAUACCAUGAGACCAGCCAAUGUCUGCACCCCGUUCGUAUGCGCACUUUAACCUAAAUCCUGUGUACGAAACUCCCGUUGUGUGGCUACUUGAUGAGGUACCAGAGAGACGUCCUAUGGCAA